UACGAAGGGGGCUAGCGUUGCUCGGAAUCACUGGGCGUAAAGCGCACGUAGGCGGACUCUUAAGUCGGUGGUGAAAUCCUGGAGCUCAACUCCAGAACUGCCUUCGAUACUGAGAGUCUCGAGUCCGAGAGAGGUGAGUGGAACUGCGAGUGUAGGGGUGAAAUUCGUAGAUAUUCGCAAGAACACCAGUGGCGAAGGCGGCUCACUGGCUCGGUACUGACGCUGAGGUGCGAAAGCGUGGGGAGCAAACAGG
rnacentral:rRNA from 1 species